rnacentral:rRNA from 1 species
AGCGCAGGCGGUUCCUUAAGUCUGAUGCGAAAGCCCCCGGCUCAACCGGGGAGGGUCAUUGGAAACUGGGGAACUUGAGUGCAGAAGAGGAGAGUGGAACUCCAUGUGUAGCGGUGAAAUGCGCAGAUAUAUGGAGGGACACCAGUGGCGAAGGCGACUCUCUGGUCUGUAACUGACGCUGAGGCUCGAAAGCGUGGGUAGCAAACA